CCUACGGGUGGCAGCAGUCGAGAAUCAUUCACAAUGGGGGAAACCCUGAUGGUGCGACGCCGCGUGGGGGAAUGAAGGUCUUCGGAUUGUAAACCCCUGUCAUGUGGGAGCAAAUUAAAAAGAUAGUACCACAAGAGGAAGAGACGGCUAACUCUGUGCCAGCAGCGGCGGUAAUACAGAGGUCUCAAGCGUUGUUCGGAAUCACUGGGCGUAAGGCGUGCGUAGGCUGUUUCGUAAGUCGUGUGUGAAAGGCGCGGGCUCAACCCGCGGACGGCACAUGAUACUGCGAGACUAGAGUAAUGGAGGGGGAACCGGAAUUCUCGGUGUAGCAGUGAAAUGCGUAGAUAUCGAGAGGAACACUCGUGGCGAAGGCGGGUUCCUGGACAUUAACUGACGCUGAGGCACGAAGGCCAGGGGAGCGAAAGGGAUUAGAUACCCGAGUAGUC
rnacentral:rRNA from 1 species